GACGAACGCUGGCGGCGUGCUUAACACAUGCAUGUCGAACGGAAAGGCCCUGCUUUUGUGGGGUGCUCGAGUGGCGAACGGGUGAGUAACACGUGAGUAACCUGCCCUUGACUUUGGGAUAACUUCAGGAAACUGGGGCUAAUACCGGAUAGGAGCUCCUGCUGCAUGGUGGGGGUUGGAAAGUUUCGGCGGUUGGGGAUGGACUCGCGGCUUAUCAGCUUGUUGGUGGGGUAGUGGCUUACCAAGGCUUUGACGGGUAGCCGGCCUGAGAGGGUGACCGGCCACAUUGGGACUGAGAUACGGCCCAGACUCCUGCGGGAGGCAGCAGUGGGGAAUAUUGCACAAUGGGCGGAAGCCUGAUGCAGCAACGCCGCGUGCGGGAUGACGGCCUUCGGGUUGUAAACCGCUUUCGCCUGUGACGAAGCGUGAGUGACGGUAAUGGGUAAAGAAGCACCGGCUAACUACGUG
rnacentral:rRNA from 1 species